UUGCGCAAGCGGUGUUUUCAUCAGCAACAUUCGCAAUCCUGUGUCGUCUGCCGAAGCCUAUUCUUUUAACCAGAAUCACUGCCCGGACAUAGCGUCCAGCGCGGCCCGCCCAAUCAGGCCAGCCGCGGCCUCCAGCCCGACAGGGUUGAUCAGGCCACCGGGCUACGCACUGUCCAGAAGACGAUGCGAGGUGAGCCGGCGUCAAAAGCGUCGAGCCAGGACGAAGUAUUCGAGAGAGGGCCAUUGAGCCCUCUU
rfam:Pseudomonas lutea strain DSM 17257 Contig003, whole genome shotgun sequence.